rnacentral:lncRNA from 1 species
GAAACAGAACAUUAGAAAGAGCCCGGAAACCCCUGUUUUCUCCCCACGCGCAAAGACGACGACCAUCCUGCCUCCUGUCGCCGUGGAUCAGCUGUGGCUGUUUUGCACUUCGCAGGGGCACGAUAAGCAUAUGGAGGUAGACUCGUCCACGUGUGCCCCUUGACGUCUGAUUUCUCCUCCUCAGCGUCGUGUCUGUGAGACUCGCCCACAGCACCGGCAAAACUGGAUCAUAAGAACCGUAUAAAGAGGAAGAUAAAACCCACACAGGAGACCGUCGGCACAGUCAGCCCGUUAGCAUCUCAGCAUCCUUCCUCAGUCAGCUUGGACUCACCUCCCUCACCUGGUCUAUAAUUGGGCCUGAGCAUCUUUCACAGG